rnacentral:rRNA from 1 species
CGAUGAUACGCGAGGAACCUUUACCUGGGCUCAAAUGUAUGUUGACGUAUUCUGAAAGGGAUACUUCUUCGGACAAUAUACAAGGUGCUGCAUGGUUGUCGUCAGCUCGUGCCGUGAGGUGUCGGGUUAAGUCCCAUUAACGAGCGCAACCCCUAUCAUUAGUUGCCAUCAGGUCAAGCUGGGGACUCUAAUGAAACUGCCUACGCAAGUAGUGAGGAAGGUGGGGAUGACGUCAAAUCAGCACGGCCUGGGCUACACACGUGCUACAAUGGUCGGUACAAAGGGUUGCCAAGCCGCGAGGUGGAGCUAAUCCCAUAAAACCGAUCGUAGUCCGGAUCGCAGUCUGCAACUCGACUGCGUGAAGUCGGAAUCGCUAGUAAUCGUGAAUCAGAAUGUCACGGUGAAUACGUUCCCGGGCCUU